rnacentral:rRNA from 1 species
ACCUCAAAUCGGGUGAGACUACCCGCUGAACUUAAGCAUAUCAAUAAAGCGGGAGGAAA